rnacentral:misc_RNA from 1 species
UGCUGGUAUCUCCGGUGGUCAUAUUAACCCGGCGGUCAGUUUUGGACUGUUCUUGGCGAGGAAGGUUUCACUAAUCAGGGCUGUGGCUUACAUGGUGGCUCAGUGCUUGGGUGCAAUUUGUGGUGUUGGGUUGGUGAAAGCAUUUAUGAAGCAUCCAUAUAAUGGCCUCGGAGGUGGUGCAAACACAGUGGCACCUGGCUACAACAAAGGCACUGCUUUGGGUGCUGAGAUCAUCGGCACUUUUGUACUUGUCUACACUGUUUUCUCUGCAACUGACCCUAAGAGGAGUGCACGUGACUCUCACGUCCCUGUGUUGGCUCCUCUUCCAAUUGGGUUUGCUG